ACUAUAAUAGUUUAAAAAAAACAAUGGUUUUGUAAACCUUUAUUGAUUAUUCUUAUAGUA
rnacentral:tRNA from 1 species